rnacentral:lncRNA from 1 species
CAAGUUUGCCCCCUCUUUAGGAGGAUGUGAAUAGUAAUUCUUUUCAGCCAAGAUUUUCUAGAACUUUCGUUUUGGUAAUUUUCUGUCUGGGAAAAUUUUUUAGAUGCCAAUUCUUUUUAUUCCAAUAUUUUUUGCUUUGAGAAUCACUGUGUUCAUAGUCUUAUUAAAAAAUACAAAUUAUCUUUCCGACACAGGCUUAUUUAUUGUUCUGGAAUUUCUGAUACCUCUGUCAGGUUCUCGGGCCUCCUCCAUACCCCACAGUUGAGCUCUGGUUGUGUCCCUGGAAGGUCAGCUGCUUUUCAACUAUCCACAGGUUCGUUUCUUCAUUUGGCGAGUGGAGCUUGUUUAGGUUUAUUCUGGCUUUGUAGAAGGAAGAAGGCCUCUUCUGCAAGUGCAAAGACUUCCUUCAAAGUGGCCUUUUCAGUGAAUGGGCUCUGGUGUGGGCUCGGCCCAAGGAAGAGAUUUCCCCUCUGCUCCAGUCACCCUCUGACUCUAUGCCUGCCUUCUUAUACAUCAGCACCGUGAAAACUUAAGCACAUAUCUUGAACCUAAAAUCAUCUCAGGCAACCUGGAUUUCCCUUCAAGAAAGUGGGAUUGGAGCUGGCUUCCGACGUGAGAUACCAGCAGUUGACAGCAGGUGACAUUGCUUUUGUGGAGUCCCCAGGGGUGUCCCACUGUUUCCUGACACUUCUUAAAGUAGGGAGGGAAUGGGAUCUGAGAUGGGUCAGAGGGUAGAUGUCUGGCACUGGGCUGAGGAGGAGAUUAGGGGCUAAAGUAAAAAGGGAAAACUACAGAUAUUGAAAACCCACUCUCCUGUCGACUGAUUGAUUGACUGUCUUUUUGAGACAGGGUUUCACUAUGCAGUUCAGGCUGGCCUUGAACUCACGUUAUAGUCUAGUCUUGCCUUGAACUUGAAGUGCUCCUCCUGUCUCAGCCUCCCAAGUGCUGGGAUUAUAGGCAUGUGCCACCAUGCCCAGCAGGCUGUGCUCUCAUUUAACAGUUGCCCAACUGUUCAAGGUGGCAGGAGUGUCUCCUGGUCUAGGCAGUCAGGGUCAGUCUUCUUCGGCCCAUUCCUAUGUCAUGAACUAUCUAUGAUCCCCAGUGAUGCUACUAAAUCUUGUGUGUGCGAUGGUAUUAGCUACCCAGUGCUAAGGGAUCUAGU